UGUAAAACCUAUAUUUAAGCCCUGUUUAGGAAAGAACUAGAAUGAAGGCUGAAGUAGGAAACCUACCGAGAACUCAAGACUGAACUGAAUUCAAGCAUAAUCACCAGAUCAACCAUAUGAAGAUAUGAAACCAAACAAUAUGGUCUUUCUUGGAUGCAAAUCUGAAUAAUUUCUCCACGAUAUAAACAAAAGGCGCUGAGGACAUUAUCGUUGUAUCCUGACCCCAGCUGACUGGUUUCUGUGAGAUCGGAAGACUUCACUAAAGAUUGACUGGAGAACGUUGUUUCUAAGCCCUGAGCGGAUUCCUAAACUAUCUGGAGAACGUUGUUUCCCAGCCCUGAGCGGAUUCCUUAACUCUCUGGAGAACGUUGUUUCCCAGCCCUGAGCGGAUUCCUUAACUCUCUGGAGAACGUUGUUCCCAGCCCUGAGCGGAUUCCUAAACUAUCUGGAGAACGUUGUUUCCCAGCCCUGAGCGGAUUCCUUAACUCUCUGGAGAACGUUGUUUCCCAGCCCUGAGCGGAUUCCUUAACUCUCUGGAGAACGUUGUUUCCCAGCCCUGAGCGGAUUCCUUAACUCUCUGGAGAACGUUGUUUCCCAGCCCUGAGCGGAUUCCUAAAUUAUCUGGAGAACGUUGUUUCCCAGACCUAAACUAUUUAAGAAGUGAACCUUCGGAGAUAAGGGGAUCUGGUUAAAUAAACAUUCUCGUCAAGAAAUAUACCUACGUGGACGGUGCUCCACCCACUCAGUCGAUGCACCAAAUGUAAGCACUCAUUUAAUAUAUUCGUGUGAUUGAUUGAUUGUAAAAUAAUAAUUAGUUGAUGGUAUUGCUUUAAAACUUUUAAAUUAUAUGGAACUGAUUAAUAGUGAUUUAUUUUUUCAGUUUCCACCACAAGACGUGCUUUCCUCGUUCCUAAAGUAUAAAUGAACUGUGGAUAUUUACAGAAACAAGCGCGUGAGAAAUGGGUAUGAUGACUGAGCCUGCGUCCGGCAUUUGGCGUGAAGACCUAAUUGAAAAUUAGGUGAGAAAUGCACAAU